rnacentral:rRNA from 1 species
CGCGAUGUCGGAUUAUUGGGCGUAAGAGCUCGUAGGCGGUUUGUCGCGUCUGCUGUGAAAUCUGGGAGGCGUCAACCCCCAGCCUGCAGUGGGUACGGGCAGACUAGAGUGCGGUAGGGGAGAUUGGAAUUCCUGGUGUAGCGGUGGAAUGCGCAGAUAUCAGGAGGAACACCGAUGGCGAAGGCAGAUCUCUGGGCCGUAACUGACGCUGAGGAGCGAAAGCAUGGGGAGCGAACAGGAUUAGAUACCCUGGUAGUCCAUGCCGUAAACGUUGGGAACUAGAUGUAGGGGCCAUUCCACGGUUUCUGUGUCGCAGCUAACGCAUUAAGUUCCCCGCCUGGGGAGUACGGCCGCAAGGCUAAAACUCAAAUGAAUUGACGGAGACCUGUUCGCGAUAAUAUUUUUUCCACGGGACUAGCGUGAACUACCUUCUCACUACUGCUGACCCCGCACUGUGGUGCUCCGCUGCCGCUACAACAUGUGUCCUUCAUCAUUUCUGGUUGCGCUUCUUUCUUGUUUUCUUCCCACCCCUCAUAGUCUGUAGCUUCUCACCUCCCCCGCUCAUCUCAUUUUUUCCUCCUUC